CGCCAGGGAAGGUCAGGCGGCCCGGGGCGUCCUGCGACUGCCCGAGGUCGGAGGCCCGGAGGACCCGCCGCCGCCUUUGUGUCACCAGCCCCCGCCCCGCUGGACUGGCCCGGGCCGGGGCGGUUGGGCCGGCGCUGAAGAGGCUUGGCCGCCCGGGUCCACCCGUUCCCGGAUCCGCCUCGGCGGCCCCCGCGCCCGCCCAACCCCUGCCCAACCCCUCGGCUCCGCGAGUUUGGGUGAGAAGUGCGGCGGCUUUUCCCAGGGAUGGAGUUUAGAGGACGCUAAUCCUAUGUGCGAGCGGCGGACCCCGCCCGGAUUUCCCGGAGGCGCCCGGUUAGUGAGGCGACGGCGCCCACCCGCGUUCGCGGGCUCCCGACCGCCACUCCCCGGAGCCGCCGGCCCGCCCCAGCCCCGCGCGUCGCCCCGGAGGGCGGGCUGCACUCCCUCCACGCACCUGGCUGGCAGAGCGUCUCCAGGGACAAAAGGUGCCCUGGCAUCAAAGCCGAGCCCCCGCCCCCGCCGGGAUGCUGCCCUCCGGAAGGAGGGGCGCUGCCCCCAAGGUACUCUCCCCGGGCACCCAGGGGGAGGUUCCAUUUCAACCUCCGAUGAAAAACACGGCCCUCCCGGGUAUUUAGGAGGGUCUGAGGGUAAGUGCCAAGAUGGAGAAAACACACCGGCCCCUCACAGAGUAUCUCCUGAGGAAUGACAACUAUCUAGUGGGCAAGGAGGGCUUCCUGCAUAGCAGAGGGCACCCCCUCUGAUCCCCCAACGCCAAGGGAAAAAAAUCACUCUUCACCGGCUCCCCUGAGCCAGGACAGGCUCCAGUGCAGCCACCCACCUUAUAAUUUUCCGCGGAUGCUGCCUUGAUCAGAUAGAUCUGAAGAUGACUUUAAGGACUACAAGCAAAUCUCAAGGGAAAAAUUCAGACCUUGAACAACAGCCUUGAACUUUUUCAGGGUUAGACAAGUACUCCCCUGUGGAGUUUCUGCCCUUAUUUCUUCGUUCUUCUGUUAAUUCUUCCAUAUUUUAACAGAACACAGACCUGCCGAAACGACACAGGAUGGCGCUUUGCUUUUUGUUAGUUCUCCAACCUUCCAAACCCUUGGGGCACAUGCAAGCACUGUGGAAAAACUCCAUUAAACCAAGAGUCAUCUUACUCCAGAUCCCAGACUGCUUGGGAAGUUGGACAUGCAUAUUCCCAAAGAGAACAGUGUUGGAAGGAGACAGGAGAGCAGCUCGGGGGUUGGGGGUAGAGGGUAGGAAAAGAGGGCAAGAUGGAUGACUACCACUCGAGGCCAGCCUCCACUGCCUGUUAGGGCAGUAGAACCUAAGAGCCGGUCCAAGGCAACACAAAAGACAGUGAGGCUAGGUCUUUCAUUGCAGCCAACGAUCAAGAAAGCAACUCCAUCAAAUGACACUGUCUUUUAAAAAAAAAUUUUUUUUUUGAGACAGAGUCUCGCUCUGUCGCCCAGGCUGGAGUGCAGUGGUGCGAUCUUGGCUCACUGCAACCUCUGCCACCCGGGUUCAAGCAGUUCUCCCUGCCUCAGCCUCCUGAGUAGCUGAGAUUACAGGCACGCGCUACCAGGCCCGGCUAAUUUUUUUUUUUUUUGGUGGAGUCGAGGUUUUGCCAUGUUGGCCACGUUGGUCUCGAAUUCCUGACCUCAGGUGAUCCGCCCAUCUCAGCCUCCCAAAGUGCUGGGAUUUCAAGCGUUAGCCACCGCGCCCGACCAAAUGACACUGUCUUAAAUGAUUUAAUGUCUUAAAUCGGGAAAGGAGAGUAAGAGAAAGCACUCAACGGAGUCAGAGGUGUCUUGCAGCCUAGCUCUUUCCACAGACAAGCUACAUGGGCCUAUCAUCUAACCUUUUCAAGCUUCUCCGACUGCUUCUGUGUUGGAGGGAUUUGGGCUAGAGGAUCUUUUUAUUUUUUUUUAUUUUAUUUUGGUGACGGAGUCUCUCACUGUCGCCCGGGCUGAAGUGCAGUGGCGCAAUCUCAGCUCACUGCAACCUCUUUCUCCUGGGUUCACGCGAUUCUCCUGCCUCAGCCUCCCAACUAGCUGGGAUUACAGGCGCACACCACCACACCUGGCCUAUUUUUUGUAUUUUUAGUAGAGACGGGGUUUCACUAUGUUGGCCAGACUGGUCUCGAACUCCUGACCUCGUGAUCUGCCCACCUCGGCCUCCCAAAGUGCUGUGAUUACAGGCAUGAGCCACCGCACCUGGCCUGUGAUCCCAUUUUUCAAAGUAAUUAGGCUGGGUGCAGUAGCUCACGCCUGUAAUCCCAGCACUCUGGGAGGCCAAAGCGGGUGGAUCACUUGAGGCCAGCAGUUCGAGACCAGCCUGGCCAACAUGGUGAAACCCUGUGUCUACUAAAAAUACAAAAAUUAGCUCGGCAUAGUGGCACGUACCUGUACUUUCAGCUACUUGGGAGGUUGAGGCAGGAGAAUUCGCUUGAACCCGGGAGGCAGAGGUUGCAGUGAGCCAAGAUGGCACCACUGCACUCCAUUCUGGGUGACAGAGUGAGACCCUGUCUCAAAAAUAAUGAUAAUAAAAUAAAAGUAAUUAUUUAAGGCUGGGAGCGGUGGCUCAUGCCUGUAAUCACAGCACUUUGGGAGGCCGAGGUGGGUGGAUCAUGAGGUCAGGAGGUCGAGACCAUCCUGUCUAACACAGUGAAACCCUGUCUCUACUAAAAAUACAAAAAAAUUAGCCAGGCAUGGUGGCGGGCGCCUGUAGUCCCAGCUACUCGGGAGGCUGAGGCAGGAGAAUCGCUUGAACCCAGAAGGCGGAGGUUGCAGUAAGCCGAGAUCACACCACUGCACUCCAGCCUGGGUGACAGAGCGAGACUCCGUCUCAAAAAAAAUUAUUAUUAUUAUUUAAAAUAAUCAUUGGGCCUGGUGCGGUGGCUCACACCUGUAAUCCUAGCACUUUGGGAGGCCAAGGCGGGCGGAUCACGAGGUCAGGAGAUUGAGAUCCAACCUGGCCAACAUGGUGAAACCCCAUCUCUACUAAAAAUAUUUUUUUAAUUAGCUGGGCGUGGCGGCGGGCACCUGUAAUCCCAGCUAGUCGGGAGACUGAGGCAGGAGAAUCGCUUGAACCUGGGAGUCGAAGGUUUCAGUGAGCCGAGGUCGUGCCACUGCAAUCCACCUGGCCAACAGAGCAAGACUCUGUCUCUAAAAUAAUAAUUUUUAUUAUUGUUAUUCUUGACAGGCCAGUGUAGAACAGGUGGGGCAUCUAUGGUGACAGAACUGGGUUCCAAUUCUGUCCCUUCACCUGUCCCAGGUUCCUCAUCUGAAAACUGUGACCCAGUAAACCUAAUUUCAUGAGCAGCUUUCAUUAAAAUUGAAAUAAUGGUGGAAAAUGCCUUGUAACCGUGCUUGAUGUAGAGUAGUUACUUAGCCAGUUAUUUCCUCUCUUCUUCCCAUUCCUAACAAAAUGGAAAAACGUUUGGUUGCUAGGAAAGAGCCUUAAGGGGAUUUUGUUGUUGUUUGACUCUAUCGCCCAGGAUGGAGUGCAAUGGCACAAUCUCUGCUCAGUGCAACCUCCGCCAUAGACAGGAGCCAAGCGUAGUGGUGUGCACCUGUCGGUAGUUCCAGCCUCUUAGGAGGCUGAGGCAGGAGGAUUGCUUGAGGCCAGGAGUUUGAGUCUAGCUUGGGCAAUAUAUUGAAACCUUGUCUCUUAAAAAAAAAAAAAAAAAAGAGGCCAGGUGUGGUGGCUCACACCUGUAAUCCCAGCACAUUGGGAGGCCGAGGCAGUGGAUCACUUGACACCAGGAGUUCGAGACCAGCCUGGGCAACAUGCAAACUUAUGUCUUUUAGGCCGGGCGCGGUGGCUCACACCUGUAAUACCAGCACUUUGGUAGGCCGAGGCGGGCAGAUCACGAGGUCAGGAGAUCGAGACCAUCCUGGCUAAGAUGAAACCCAGUCUCUACUAAAAAUAAAAAAAAAUUAGCCGGGUGUGGUGGCUGGCGCCUGUAGUCCCGGCUACUUGGGAGGCUGAGGCAGGAGAAUGGCAUGAACCCAGGAGGUGGAGUUUGCAGUAAGCCAAGACAGCACCACUGCACUCCAGCCCAGGCAACAGAGCUAGACGCCCUCUCAAAAAAAAAAAAAAAUUACAUCUUUAAAAAAAAAUGCAGGGCCGGGUGCGGUGGCUCAUGCCUGUAAUCCCAGCACUUUGGGAGGCCGAGGCGGGCGAAUCACGAGGUCAGGAGAUCGAGAGCAUCCUGGCUAACACAGUGAAACCCUGUCUCUAGUAAAAAUACAAAAAAUUAGCCAGGCGUGGCAGCAUGCGUCUGUAGUCCCAGCUGCUGGGGAGGCUGAGGCAGGAGAAUGGCGUGAACCCAGGAGGCAGAGCUUGCAGUGAGCCAAGGUCCCGCCACUGCACUCCAGCCUGGGCGACAGAGCGAGACUCGGUCUCAAAAAAUAAUAAUUAACAAAAAAAAAAAAAUACAAAAGUUAGUUGCACAUGUUGCCAUAUGCUCGUGGUCCCAGCUACUCAGCAGGCUGAGGUUGGGAGAUCACUUGAGCCCAGAAGGUGGAGGUUGCAGUGAGCUGAGAACCCACCAUUGUACUCCAGCCUGCGUGUCAGUGAGAUUCUGUCUCAAAAAAAAAAAGAAAAGAAAAAAAAUCUAGGCUAUGCUCCCUAGUAUGGGAAAUCUAGUCUAGUCAUUUGACAGAAUCAGGCUUUGCAGGCCAUAUUGUCUCUGUCGUAACUACCAACUCUGCUGGUUAAAAGGGAAGUAGCCACAAACAAUAUCUGAAUGAUGGAUUAUGGCUGUGUUCCAAUAAAACUUUAUUUGCAAAAACAGGUUGCUGGUUGCAAGGUAGUUUUCCAACCUCUACGUGAUUCUCAGACUUUAGGUUGCAUCAUAAUCACCUGGAGGGCUUGUUCAAACGCAGAUUGCUGGGCCCCACCCCCAGAAUUUUUGAUUCAGCCAGUCUGGGGUGGGGCUGAUAUUUGUAUUUCUACCAACUUUCCAGGUGAGGCUGGCUGAUGAUGGUCUGGAAACCACUUUGAAAACCUCUGAAGCUUUUCUCAACUCCCUUCUUUGUGUACCUAAAACACUUUAUCCCUACUGUAGAUGUAGCAUUAGCGUGUUAUAUUAGUUUAGUGAUUGGUGUGUGGGUCUCUGGGAGCCUUUCUGAAUCACCUCCCUAGCCUAGUGCCUGACAAUAGCAAUUUGCUCCCCAUUCAUUGACUGAACUGAAACCGGAGGGUCAUGGUCAUCAUCAUUGUUCCAAGCCAUAGAUAGAAGAUGAAGUCACCACCCCUGAUCUCAGAGCUCAUCAGAGUAGAGCUUGGGCUGGACCCUGCCCUUCUCUGCAGUGAGCAGUUUUCUCUGUGGAGCUCUGUGCAACCUGGAGCCAGUCCUGCCUGGGGUAAGAGGAAAAAAGACUCCUUCCCCCCAGCCCCACAGCCUGUACGCAAACACACCGGGAGACAUGACCUGCUCAGAGGAGACCUGGAACCAAGGGAAUAAAAUGAGAGUGGGUUGGGGGCUGCUGUUAGUUAUUUUUUGCUUGUAAGUGGACAAUUUGUGGUGUGGUGUGUGAAUUUGGGGUCUUAAAUCCAGAUAGCUGUCUGCUGUGGACAGCCACUGUUUCUGAAUUACAGGGCAUUUCAAGUGACCUGUGGUCAGGAUGUUUUCUCAGAUCAGGCAAAAUCAAUUGGUCCUGAUAAUAACCAGGGGAGUUGUACUUUCCCUAUCUUGAGUAGAAGAAGCCACAGCUCCCGGGUCCACCUGCCUCUCCUGACUGCCCACCUCCUGGCUUUUUCUUUUUCUUUUUUUUUUUUUUUUUUUUGAGACGGGGUCUUGCUCCAUUGCCUAGGCUGGAGUGCAGUGGUGCGAUCUCAGCUCACUGCAACCUGGGCCUCCUGGGUUCAAGAGAUUCUCCUGCUUCAGCCUAGCGAGGAGCUGGGAUUACAGACGCGCGCCACCUCGCCCAGCUAAUUUUUUUAUAUUUUUAGUAGAGACGGGGUUUCACCGUGUUAGCCAGGAUGCUCUCGAUCUCCCGACCUCGUGAUCUGCCCGCCUCGGCCUCCCAAAGUGCUGGGAUUACAGGUGUGAGCCACCGUGCCCGGCCGGCCUCCUGGCUUUUAUCCUGGGGGCACUGCAAGUAGAGCCAGGCAUGUGGCCCAUGCAUCCUUCCCAGCCUCUUUCCUGCUGGGCAUGGAGGAGGAGGCACUGCCAGGAGCUCCCCACAGACAGGCGCUGCUUACUGAUGGGUUGGCUGCAAACUGUAGGCAUAACAGUUACCUUCCUCUUCACAACCCCCAGGCCUGACGAGGCUUACAUGGGAAUUGCUUUGAUUUGUGAAGUCUUAAGACUAUACUGCUGGGCGAGGUGGCUCAAGCCGGUAAUCCCAGCACUUUGGGAGGCUGAGGCGGGCGGAUCACGAGGUCAGGAGAUCAAGACCAUCCUGGCUAACACAGUGAAACCCUGUCUCUACUAAAAACACAAAAAAUUAGCCGGACAUGGUGGGGGGGUGCCUGUAGUCCCAGCUACUUGGGAGGCUGAGGCAGGAGAAUGGCACGAACCCGGGAGGCAGAACUUGCAGUGAGCCGAAAUCACACCACUGCACUCUGCACUCCAGCCUGGGUGACAGAGCGAGACUCUGUCUUAAAAAAAAAAAAAAAAAGACUAUACUACCUAAUCUUCCAUGCCUCGCUCUUUCCACAUUAAUAGACAAAACCAGGAAAAAGGACUGCUUCCCCUCCAGCUCUUGAUUGGGCUCCAUAAGAACUGCCAAAAGGCCAGGCAGCAUUUGCUACUCUUCUGGGGUUCACUUCUGAAAGGUGCGACCCUGCAACCUAGAGCACAGGGAAGUUAGGACAGCAAAGGAGCUGGGCUGAGCCGACGCUGGCUUAGAACUCUUUCUGAUACUCCCUGUUCCCGCCAGCUCGUUAGCCCAGCCUGCCAAUCAGUUUUGCAUCAAUAAACUUUAUGUUCUGAGGUUGGCCAGAUGAAUGAGAGGAGAGCAGCUAAAGACUGAUCUCUGACCUUGGCACGUAAACAGCCUCCAGAUUGGACUUGACAGUUAAUAAAGGAAAGGCCCUGCAA
rnacentral:lncRNA from 1 species